AUCCAGCCAAUGAGUCCCAAAUAGGACGAAACGCACAUCCUAGAU
rnacentral:hammerhead_ribozyme from 1 species